rnacentral:rRNA from 1 species
CCUACGUGAGGCAGCAGUGAGGAAUAUUGGUCAAUGGGCGAGAGCCUGAACCAGCCAAGUCGCGUGAGGGAGUACUGCCCUAUGGGUUGUAAACCUCUUUUGUCGGGGAGCAAAAGCCGGCCGUGUCCGGCUGUGAGAGUACCCGAAGAAAAAGCAUCUGCUAACUCCGUGCCAGCAGCCGCGGUAAGACGGAGGCUCCGAGCGUUAUCCGGAUUUAUUGGGUUUAAAGGGAUCGUAGAUGGGUUGUUAAGUCAGUUGUGAAAGUUUGCGGCUCAACCGUAAAAUGGCAAUUGAUACUGGCAGGCUUGAGUACAGUUGAGGUAGGCGGAAUUCGUGGUGUAGCGGUGAAAUGCUUAGAUAUCACGAAGAACCCCGAUUGCGAAGGCAGCUUACUAAACUGUGACUGACAUUGAUGCUCGAAAGUGUGGGUAUCAAACAGGAUUAGAUACCCCUGUAGUC